rnacentral:rRNA from 1 species
UACGUAGGGUGCAAGCGUUAAUCGGAAUUACUGGGCGUAAAGCGUGCGCAGGCGGUUUUGUAAGUCUGUCGUGAAAUCCCCGGGCUCAACCUGGGAAUUGCGAUGGAGACUGCAAGGCUAGAAUCUGGCAGAGGGGGGUAGAAUUCCACGUGUAGCAGUGAAAUGCGUAGAGAUGUGGAGGAACACCGAUGGCGAAGGCAGCCCCCUGGGUCAAGAUUGACGCUCAUGCACGAAAGCGUGGGGAGCAAACGAG